rnacentral:snRNA from 1 species
UGGACGGAGUACUUCGUC